GGCCUUGUGGUGUAGCGGUUAUCUCGCCUGCUUAACACGCAGGAGGUCGCCGGACCGAUCCCGGCCGAGAUCA
rfam:Toxocara canis C1637201, whole genome shotgun sequence.